rnacentral:lncRNA from 1 species
CAAGAUUUAGGUUAUUCCCAAACCCCAGAAAUAAAUUGUUGACUGGCUUUUUAAGAUUGUCAAAAGCAUUUCAGUUACCCUGGUAGUUGGUGGUGCAAUAUAACUCACAAACUUUCAAUAUAUGUUUCUAUAACGACAGAAGGUAUUUGUCUAAUGAAAGGCGCGUUAAUGUGGACUGUGGAAUAUGUAAGGAUGUCUGUAUUCUGGAAAUCAAAGGUUAGAGCAUUAUUGCUUCAUGUCACUAAUAGUAGUUACCAUGUUUCGUAGAUUUAUAUUCUGGAUUUUUUUCUAUAGUUGUGUCUGUUCUGGCGUUGCUCUCAUUGUUGUCACUUUUGUUAAGGAUAUUUCUGUAAUCAAAUCACAGUUAUGGUGAAUUCUUGGAAUUAUUACUUAUGACAAUUCUUAACUCUCCAGCUUCCUUUCUGUUGGAAUUUAUUAAGUUUAUUUAGGAAAUUAAUUAGAGAUUUGAUUUGAUUUUGUAGUAGGGUAUUUUUGGCAUUUACGCAUUAGGGUUUCUUAGGUUUAUUGCUCUAUAAAUAGAGCUUGUAAUUUAGUUUGAGAAUCAAGCUAGUCACAAUGUAGUCUCUUAGGGUUUUAUAGCCGUUUCGGCAUUCUCGUUCUUUUAAUAAUAUUCUUUCUAUUUUGUUAGUCUUGUUCGUUGCACACUUUAAUAUUCAACUUAGUAUCGGAACGGGUUCGAUCCUUAGGAUUCAAUCCGUUCUCGUUGGUAUCAAUUUGUUUGCCUCUGUCGUUGUUCGUUUUAGAUUUGUUAGUUGGUAUUGAUUGUUUGUAAGGAAAAGAAAAAUGAAAGAG